rnacentral:snoRNA from 1 species
ACUGGGACAUGAUGUGAACAAAAGGCCGAAUUGUAGCGCCCCCGCCAGGCAGCGUGUUCUCAGAGCGGGGGUGCUGUGACAAAAAAUCGACCGAAGCGUUUGUCUGAUCCCAGU